UUAUAAGAGUUUUAUUUUAAUAUAUUAACCGUUUCCUGCGUAUUUUUUUCGGGGUUUAAAAAAUCGUUAUUUUUAUUUUCCUGGUUUUUUUAAACGGUAAAUAUUAAUAUAUAUAUUAUAUUUUAUUUAUAUUUUGGAUUUCUUUAUAAUUUCUUUGGAAAAGUUUUAUUUAUUACGUUAAAUUUAAUUUUUUAUAUAUAUCCGAAAUUUAUUUAUAAAAAUUAAUUUUCCUAAAAUAUUGUUAGGGUGUUUUUUUAUUAUUAUAUUUGCAAAAUUAUCAAAUCCGUUAAUUUAUCUAAUUUCCCAAAUUUUACAAUUUUCGUAUAAUUAUUUAAUCGCCAAAAUAUUAAUUAUUUAUUUUUUUCCAAGAUAAUACCCAACCGUACCAAAUAUUUGUAUAAUUAUUUCGAGUUCGUGCAUAUUACCAAUUUUAAAUUCGGUGAAUUAAUUUAUUAACAAAUUAUUCCAAACGUUUAUACAAAUAUAUAAUUUAAAUUUCGGUUAUUUAUCAUUCCGUAUAUUUAGUUAAUUAAAUUAUUGCGAAUAAUACGGUUAUAUUUAGUAAAAAACCAAUAUAUAAUAUUAUUUUAAUUUUUAAAAUUAACGUUAUUUUUAGUAUUGGUUUCGGUACCAAAUAUAAUAAAAUAACCGAUUUGGGAAUUUAUAUUUACCAAAUUGGUUAAUAACCCGUUAACAAAUACUUAUAAUUUGGUUAUAUUUAUAUUUAACGGUAUAUAUAUUAAACCCCGUAAUUGGUUUUCGAUUUGCUAUUAUAUAUAUUUAUUAAACGUUUCGAAUUUUAUAUCCGUGGGUUUUUUACUCGCGCAACCACGGAUAAAUCGAAGGUUGUUUUUAACUGGUAAAUCGUUAUAAUAUAUAUAUUUUUAGUACGUUAAACCACGUAUUAUUAUCUGCGAUUAAUUGCCCCGAUUUCUAUUUGUUCCAGGCGAUUUGUUUUAUUAUAUUAUUAUAAUGCCGUUUUUUAACGUUAUUUUGCAACCGUUAGAAUUUUUUAUACUAUACUUUUGCAAAAACUUUUGUGGUUUUGCAAAAAAACCUAUUUAUUACAAUUUUGUUUCCUCGGUUAUAAUAAAGUUUAAAUUAUUUAAAUUUAAUAUAUUAUUCGUUUAAAAAUUAACAAACCCAAACGGGCUGUUUUUUAUUGUUAACAAACAGGUAUUAUAUCUCAAAAUUUUGCAAUUUAACUGUUUUUUAUAAUAGUGUUAAUACGUAUUAAACCAAUCCGAACCUAAUUUUAUUAAACUGUAUAAUAAUUUGUAAAUAUUUAAAUAUAUAUCCCGUAGGUAUUUAUAUUAUAAUUAUUUUGCUAUUCGCACCAAAACUUUUUUUAUCAAUUGGUUUUUCGAUUAAAUAUACGUUUAAUUUAUAUUCCGAAUUAUAAACUUAUACCCGUAGCGUUUUAUUAAGUAUAAUAUAAUUAAUAAAACUAAUUGUUAGCUAUAUUUUAUAAUUGUAAACGUUUGCGUUAAAAAGUUUUUCUUUGCGAAUUAUUAUAAUUUUAAAUUAUUAAUUUCGAUUUUUCGUACAACCGUUUCGGCGUUUUUUUAAUUUCUCGUAUUAUUUUAACGCCGAUAAUCCGGUUAUAUGCGUUAUUUUGUAAUACCCGUUGUAAAACCCUCGCAUUUAAUAAAAUUCCGAUUUCGGCGUCGUUUAAUUAUUCGAACGGAGCUCCUGGUGCCGUAAUUUUGCCUUUUACCUUAUAUUUAACGGCCAAAUUAUAAACGUGGUUUUUUAAACUUAAUAUUAGCGUAUUAAAUUGCAUUUUAAGUUUUUUUAUUUUGUUUAUUGCGUCGGUGUUGUUUAAAUUUAAUUGUUAUUUCGAUCGUCCAUUCGUUUGGUAUAAUAUCCGUUUUAAAAACAAUUGUUUUCAAAUUAGGGGGCGGUUUUUACGUUGGAUUAAUUAUUAUUACUAUUAAUAAUCUCUUGGGCGUCUUGAGUAUUGUUUUUGGUUUGUCCCUAAACCGUAAUUGGUUUUUUUUCAUGGUAAAUAAAAUGGUUUUUUUUGGUGCUUUUCUUUUCUAAUUUUAAUAUUUGUGGUAUAAUUUUAUAUGGGUGCUUUGAAAAUCCAAAUUCCCGUUAGGAAAAGCAGUUUUAACGUUAUUUUCCGUUAUUAAAGCAAUUUUAUAUAAAUUAUUCCAAUUCUUUUUCGAUAAAUUAGUAUUUUUACGUUUAAUUUUAAUAUAUAAAGAAAUUAAUCCGAUAAAUUU
rnacentral:sRNA from 1 species